rnacentral:rRNA from 1 species
UGGGGGAUAUUGCACAAUGGGCGAAAGCCUGAUGCAGCGACGCCGCGUGGGGGAUGAAGGCCUUCGGGUUGUAAACUUCUUUUGCUCUGAACAAGGCGCACCAUGGGGUGUGUUGAGUGUAGGGGUUGAUUAGCGCCGGCUAACUACGUGCCAGCAGCCGCGGUAAUACGUAGGGCGCGAGCGUUGUCCGGAAUUAUUGGGCGUAAAGGGCUUGUAGGUGGCUGGUUGCGUCUGUCGUGAAAGCUCAUGGCUUAACUGUGGGUUUGCGGUGGGUACGGGCUGGCUUGAGUGCAGUAGGGGAGGCUGGAAUUCCUGGUGUAGCGGUGGAAUGCGGAGAUAUCAGGAGGAAUACCGGUGGCGAAGGCGGGUCUCUGGGCUGUUACUGACACUGAGGAGCGAAAGCAUGGGGAGCGAACAGG